CAUACAAGUUGUUUGCGUUUAAAACAUCAAGACUCUAAAGCACAAGGUAACAGCCAGAGAUAGAUAAAGAGGAUAUACUGUGAUAUCAUUUAGAAAAUCUUUAUUUGGAGGUUUUUGAUUCUUAUGUUGAGGUAAAUAACUAUUUCCCUUUAAAAUAGCAGAUAUUGCAGUUAACGUCUCUGGAGGAAAUUACAAGAAAUAUACAGUUACCAGUGAGUAGUCUAAAGAUAGCCAAAACGCAUUUUCUCUUAAACUGUGUGUUAAAAUAUUUUCAUGAGUUUGAUCAAUUGUAAAUUGUCAAGAGACACAAUCCAGAACGGUUUCCAUGGUUCUAGUUGGCUCGGCCACAGAUGCUUCGACGUUCCUGAUUAUCCUCAUGCUUUGAACAUUCCUACUGGCAGUUGAGCGAUUGAAAAAGGAGCCCAAAUACUGUCUCGGGCCUGAUGGCCUGCACUCUGGAUCAGGUCUGGUGACGUUAAGUCCCCCAGACCUCGUCUGCUGUCUCUGCCGGCCCCUAACACCCUGCGGCCACACACCCACCACAGCUCCACACACAGCUGAUGGCUCCUCUUCUUCCUCCUCUUCUUCCCCCAACUCCUCCCAGCGAACUGAUGCCAUCGAGCAGGGAUAACGAGGUCCCUCCUGCUUCUAUUGUCAUCAACGUGACCACUAAUAUCAAGCCCUCUGGACAGUCAGAGAACGCUCUGUGUGGAGAAACAGGACCAGACAGCAGAUACUCCACA